rnacentral:rRNA from 1 species
UCUGAAUCUGCGAACGGCUCCGCAAACCAGUUGUAAACUAUAGCAAGCAGGCUCGGGGUCGGCUCUCACGGGCUGGCUUCGGGCGAUAUGGAUAACCCUGGUAAUUCUGAGGCUAAUACAUGAACGUAAAACCUGGUUGACUGGGCUUCGGUCUGGGAGGCUGGGGGAUGUGUGAUUGCAGGCUUGGGUAACACCGGGAAAGGGCACACGUCCAGACCGCGCUAUAAAGGAUGGGACCCCUUCGGGGGACCCGCCCCAGCGGCUCUUGCUGUGUGCUUCUGACCUAUCAACUAGACGGCAGCGUAAGGGACAUGCUAUGGU